GAGGGAACCAGAUCUCAUUAUAGAUGGUUGUGAGCCACCAUGUGGUUGCUGGGAAUUGAACUCAGGACCUUUGGAAGAACAGCCAGUGCUCUUAACUGCUGAGCCAUCUCUCCAGCCCAAGGGUUGAGACUUAAGGAGGUUGUCGUUCAAGGUUCUGAGAGGCAGCCGUUCACAAGCCUUGCGGCCCCUGGUGGGCAGGGAGUCAGCUGCCCUGGGAGAGCUCCAACUGCAGAAAGAAGAACUCAUGGACAAGUGCAUGGUCCUGGAAGAGUAGCUUCGGAAGCAGGAAGGUGAAUACAAGAACUACAUCCACAACCCAGAGAGGGUGUUGAAACAUCUCAGCCACAGUCGUGGGAGGCAAGGAGCAUGCUGCUGUGGGAAACAUUGACAGGCCAUGCUGGAGAGCCAUCAGAAGCCGAGAAUUACGGAUAUAGUCACACAGUGCUGCCCUGAAAGCCCCCAUAUUCUGUGAAGAGGACUGACAUGCUUGCUGGAUGGACUGCUGGACCACGUCUACUGAAGACAAUCUUUCUGCAGGGCUGCGUGCAUGAAAACAUCAAAGUCUAAAGAAAGACCUGGCCCUUGUCCCAGUUUGGAAAGCUCUGGAUGGUUCUCCCAGUUUUGGAACUUCCAGCAGGUUCCCCCGAGGCACUGUGGAGAGAGAGCCAAGAGUCAGCAUCUCCAUCAUUCUUCUCCUUCCCUUCCAAAUGUGGUGCCAUGAGAGGACUGCCUAGUAGCAAAUCACCUGCAUGUCAAUUUCCAUUUCAAAGUAGGUGUGUUAGGCAGCGUUCCAGGACUGUGACAAAAUAUCUGAGACUGUCAACUUAAAGAGAGGAAAAUCAACUUAAAGACGACCAACUUAAAGGAUGCUCCAGCUUUGCCUGAACGUGGAUGCCCAAGGAAGAUGACACUAACUACAGUCCUGAUGAAUGCAUCUGUAUCACUCAUGAUCAUUCAGUCCUGUUUGCCUCGGUUGAUCUGAAAAGGACAAAUGACCCAAGUCUACCAAAUGAAUCACAAGGGCUAUUUACUAGAUGUAUGGUGACAAGAAACCCUCUGAAGGGCUAGGAAGACAAGCUGCAUUUUCCCAUCAGAUAUAGGGAUGCCUGGGAGGCAGAGAAGCCAUCUUGUCCUGCAAGAGGACAAGGACAAAACACAGAGAGGUGGUGAUGAUGGUGCUGUGGAUUGAACUCAGGACCUUGCCCAUUCUAGGCAAGCAUACUACCAUUGACUACAUCCCUGAGCCAUCUGUGUUGUUGUUUUUUUAAACUUGUAGGCUCUUUCUUCCUCCUCCUCCUCCUCUUCAUCCUCCUCCUCCUCCUCUUCCUCCUCCUCCUUAUUCUUA